GGGAAUAAGCUGGUCUUCCAACAGAAUGCCACGAAGUAUGUGGCGGGGCAGGUCACUGGGGCAGAAAUUCCCCGGAGACCGCAAGAGACCGUCAGUGCGUCCCCACAAGAUUCUGCAUCCGAGAACCUGUUUAGAGGCGGGGGCUCCUCUGCGAAGCACCCCCCGCCUCCCAGGCCGCCCGGUGCUUCCGGCGCCGCCCCAGUUUUCUCUAACUGCUGCAAACACCGGGCGCGGGCGGGGUGGUCUGCGCGACGAAGGGAAAUGACCUUCAAGGUCAGAAGCAAACCUUGGUUUCGACCCUCAGCUGGACACUGCAUCGGAGUCGCUGUCGCUAGUGCCUUACACAUGUUAUAAUAAUCCUAUAAAAUGGAAUAAUACACAAUUCACAUAUAUUGGACAAAUCCUGACUGAGGGACAGUUUACAACCCCAUGAGGGCUAAUUACCAGUUGGGCUGCUUUUGGCUGCAAAUAACAGAAGACUUAAAAUGGCUUAAACAAUAAGGUUUUUUAUUGUUCCACAUAACAAGAAGCCUCCAAGUAUUACCAUGUCAUGAAGUUUCCAGGUUUUUGGUUGCUACAGCUGUAGGCAUCCUGUCUGCACGAAACCAUGUUCAAAUGGGGGAAGCACCACUGUCAACCCAGCAGCGGUUCCAACUCUCCCUCUGAUGUGUGUACUAGUAUUUAAAACCAAAUAAGACUUUCUGAACUUGUACUUUGAUUUGUGUAAAUUAUCAGUGCUCCACAAAAACCCAUGGGGACUCAAGAGAACCCAGUGGCUUUUCUUUGUCAUCGAAAGGCUUCCUCUACUUUCAGUAGCAGACUGUGGCUGUGUCCGGACUGGAUCUUUUCCAUCAGCACCCCACCUUCUCGAGCUAUCUGUGGUGCUCCCUCUCCGCCUGCUUUCCCUGUGCUCCGCAUGUCACCGCGUUGCCUUUAGAAGAACGGCCCUCCACCUGACUUGGCAUCCUUCCUUUGACCUUCAGCCUCUGGUUUCACCUUAAACACAAGGCUGAAAUGUUCAUUUGUCCUUAGACACGGCUGACUUUCUCAGUCUCUGGAUCUCUAUGUGGCCACGGUGUAAGGCGCUCGGAAGAGAAAUCCCAAGACUACACCAGAGGAAGAGCAUCUCCUACCCACUGUGUUCUCCAGGUUUUUGAGUGUCUUUUUGAUAAAGCCUCAUUUCAAUUCCCCUUUUCCUGCCUCCUCUGCUCACUUUCAUCCAUUUCUUUUGAUCCUGGUUUCCUAUGCUGGGAUCACAGUGCAGUGGCUGGCUAAGGAGGCUUAGGCAUUGAGAAAGUGUUGUAUCUCCUCAAGGUGUUCCCCACGGUGGGUAAUGGGAGAAACGGUCACCGUCCUUCUGAGUCAUCUGGACGUGGCUACAGUCACACUUACAAUUCUACUAUUGCUACACCAUUUGGAGCCUGGAAAAUUUCCUCACAUGUGUUGUUACGACAUUACAGUUAACUCCUGCAAGGUCUCCCAAUUAAUAGGGGACAUUUGUGAUCCAUUAAACAUAACCAAGAUAUCCACUGCUAUUUGAAAAAAUUGGUAAUUGGGGGUCUUAUCUAAUCUAUCAUAAUUUGGAACCUAACUUGUUUCAUGUUUCUCCUUUUGCACGUGCUGAUGCAUGUACCAUUUGCUGGCCAUCGUGCCCCCUGGAGCCAUACUGCAAGCCCCUGGACCGACUCCGGGAUUGAUUCCAACUGCCUCAUAGCCCACCGCCCCAUUUCAGCAGGAAGCAGCCAGAGUGGUCAUGGCUCCGGUCCCUGAAGGCAGUCCUUACUAUUCCAGGGGGGGAGGAGGGAGGAUCAGGUGGGGCUAGGUAGGGAGAGAUAGAAAGGGAGCUCUGUGAUCAGGCUCACAGAAAUCCCAAAAAAGUGGAGGUGUGGGGAAACCACAGGGAAGAGGAUAAACCGGACCACCCUACCCUAAGGGUGUGAGGUGGGUAGUGUCUCUACAGAUAACCACUGUGACCAACAAAGAAUAACCAGGCCCUAAAAAGGAAGUAAGCAAGAGGGAAGGUGUUAUCAAUAGAGAUGUUAAAAGGAUUUAAGUUCCCUGGUUAGCUUUCUAGAAAAGACAAACCCUAAAGGCCCUCAUUGGCAACCCAGUUAGGACCCCUCUCACUCUUGAGAGCUUUUUCUGUAUCUUCACUUAAUAAACUUCUAUCA